rnacentral:rRNA from 1 species
GAUCCUGGCUCAGGACGAACGCUGGCGGCAUGCCUAACACAUGCAAGUCGAACGGAGUCUUUCCGGAAGUUUACUUUUGGGAAGACUUAGUGGCGGACGGGUGAGUAACACGUGGGUAAUCUGCCUGAGAGACUGGGACAACAGGGGGAAACCGCUGCUAAUACCAGAUAAGCUCACGGGGACGGGAGUUCCUGGGAGAAAAGGAGAAAUCCGCUUUCAGAUGAGCCCGCGGCUGAUUAGCCAGUUGGUGGGGUAACGG